rnacentral:rRNA from 1 species
GACGAACCGUGCGAACGUUAUUCGGAAUCACUGGGCUUAAAGGGCGCGUAGGCGGCCCGCUAAGUCGAACGUGAAAUCCCCGAGCUCAACUCGGGAACUGCGUCCGAUACUGGCGGGCUUGAAUCCGGGAGAGGGAUGCGGAAUUCCAGGUGUGAGCGGUGAAAUGCGUAGAUAUCUGGAGGAACACCGGUGGCGAAGGCGGUUCUCUGGGACGGUACUGACGCUGAGACGCGAAAGCGUGGGAGCGA